rnacentral:rRNA from 1 species
UACGGAGGAUCCAAGCGUUAUCCGGAUUUAUUGGGUUUAAAGGGUGCGUAGGCGGCCUAUUAAGUCAGGGGUGAAAGACGGUAGCUUAACUAUCGCAGUGCCUUUGAUACUGAUAGGCUUGAAUAUACUUGAGGUAGGCGGAAUGUGACAAGUAGCGGUGAAAUGCAUAGAUAUGUCACAGAACACCAAUUGCGAAGGCAGCUUACUAAAGUAUGAUUGACGCUGAGGCACGAAAGCGUGGGGAUCAAACAGG